GGAGGGAUGGCCGAGAGGCUGAAGGCACCGGUUUGCUAAACCGACGUAGUGUUUUUAAACGCUACCGAGGGUUCGAAUCCCUCUCCCUCCGC
rnacentral:tRNA from 1 species